rnacentral:rRNA from 1 species
GUAGGUGGCAAGCGUUGUCCGGAAUUAUUGGGCGCAAAGCGCGCGCAGGCGGUUCUUUAAGUCUGAUGUGAAAGCCCACGGCUCAACCGUGGAGGGUCAUUGGAAACUGGAGAACUUGAGUACAGAAGAGGAAAGCGGAAUUCCACGUGUAGCGGUGAAAUGCGUAGAGAUGUGGAGGAACACCAGUGGCGAAGGCGGCUUUCUGGUCUGUAACUGACGCUGAGGCGCGAAAGCGUGGGGAGCAAACAGGAUUAGAUACCCUGGUAGUCCACGCCGUAAACGAUGAGUGCUAAGUGUUAGGGGGUUUCCGCCCCCCUUAGUGCUGCAGCUAACGCAUUAAGCACUCCGCCUGGGAGUACGGCCGCAAGGCUG